rnacentral:tRNA from 1 species
GAUUAUGGAACUUCUGUGCACUUCACAAGUGCAUCGGGCUGGCAAAGGCUAGCACAAGCA